CAUAUAAACAAUACUGUAAAUGGAGUUGAACGUCUACGAAAGAGACUUUACAUUUAAAAAAUGACAACUAAAGUGAUCGAGUUAGACCUAGAUGGCACCGUAUUUAUCAAUAUUAAUAUCGUCGUGAAUAUGUACCUCCAUGAUGUUGAUAUCAAAAUAGCUACCAAUGGCGGAUCCAGGAAUUCGAAAUAGAGGGUCUCAGGGAGGUGAUAGUACUGUGAAAUGGAGUUGAAACUCUACGAAGGAGACUUUACAAUUCAUAUGAAGACAAAGAAUCCUCAAAUAUCAAGAAAGGAUGUCUGGACUCGAUCGUGAAAGGGCAACAGAACUUAUAGUACCAACUACUAUAGAUAGACAAAAAUGUUACCACUCAUCAAGGUUCCUGUACAAAUUCUGGAUAUGAAAUUAAUUAAAAUAUAUUGUAAUUUUUAAAAAAUAUUAGCAAUAUUUAUGAAUUUGUGUCUUAUAAUAGAAAAAUAACCCGUAAUAUUUCUCUAACGAAUA